ACCAAAACAAAAUCUACGCUUCUCAGUUUUUUCCCCAGAUCUUUCUUCCCUAAUCGACUCCACUGAUUUUACAGAAUAUCGCCGAUUGGAGUUUCGAUUUAGGUAAUUGAGAGAUCCACAUACUCUCCGUCGAUCUAGAGAAGGAUACUGAUGAAAGAUUACUGGGUAUUAGUUGAAUUGAACUGUUGGGAUGAUUUGUUGAGCCAAAUCAAAUAAAGAAGAAGUUGAAUUCAAUUUGCUUGAGAUAAAACCAUUUUGAGUACUUAGAUGUUGUUGGGGAGCUGUGGUGGUGGUGGUGACGUACGCAGAAACGACGAGAGAAUCAGAGAUAAACUUUUGAAGAUUGUUUGUGAGGAAAGAAUUCAGAAUCAUCUUACGACCGCGCUUAAAGAUAAGAUUUUAGAGCAAACUUGCACCUGCUGUUUAGCUCAAGAGGCCGCUGCAAAUAUCACUACUAGCAAUUGGAAUUGUCUUUUUCUCUUUGAAUUCCUCAUGUAUGUAGUAAUUUGAGCACCCUCAUAUAGAAUUAUGUUGGCAAGUUCAAAUUUAUGUAUUAUAAAGCGUCCAAUUCUUAUCUUGGAUUUGGAAGUUGGGAACAAAAAAUGUUUUGGUCCAUGUGAAUUUAGUUUAGGCUUGGAUGUUUUAUUCGAGAUAUUUAUGAAUAUACGAUAUAAAGUCGCACAUCAGGUUAGAUGAAACUUAAUCAGGUGAUAUGAAACUUAAUUGAGUUAA